UACAGGGCAGUCCACCCGAGAGUCAGAGCAGAGAGGAGCACUGAGCUGCGCGUGAAUACACACAGGUAUUUGAAGAUUCCUGUGAGCUACAUCCACAGAUAUAUGUACCCAGAGAUUACCAUUACCACCUUUAUCUGACCAUGGGAGGGUCUGUAAGGACUGUGACCCUACAUCUCACAUCAUGGGUUGAAAGACCAAACUGAGGCUGCACUGGACCCAUGGGAACCCUAGAGUGGCUGGGUCAUAAGCCAUACCUUCAGGUGGGAGAAAGGGGCCUUUUAUCCCUGGCCUGGUCUACUGGGCCACCUUGCCAAAAGUUACAGGGUGAGACCAUGGGGUUUUCAAGAUGGGUCACGAGAGCUUCAUUGAGAGCAGAGCUUUCCCAACCUAUGCAGGCUGGAGCGGCUCAGGAAGGUGUAAGUAGUGUGGGCAUGGGCCUGCUCCUAGUUUUAGGGUGGACAGGAAGGAAGGGAAUAGAGGUUGUAGACCCCAGCCCCAAGUGAUUGGUAGUCCAAAUGGUCCUUCCCCCAAAUAGGCUGGUCAGAGGCCCUCAAUGCCCAGCACCCAGGACUACACACACUGGCCUUUAUUCUCAAGAAGCCUCUGGGACCUCCUCUGUGGGACAGACUUGCAGUUCCCCACUACUCCUGGUGGGAUUCCCAGAAGAGUGUGAAAUGGGUCCUUUGUGCUGGGACCACCAUCUCAUUCUUGAAAACAAGCCCCAAGCAGCAGCAGAUAAAAGGGAGGGGGAAAGACUUAAGGGCGGGCCUAGUGGUGACAUCAGGGAAGGGAACCUUCUCUAAGUUCCAGCCUUGUCACAGACCAAGAAGCACUGGAAACUGAAGAACACUAUCCUUGGAGCAGGAGGUUAGUGACUCAUUUAUGGCCCUGGGGUUUGGUGCAUGAGGGCCUACCAGAGAAUCCACUGGGGAGAGACUGGGGAAAGUGAUAAGGCCCCACAAGUUGAGGGACUCAAGUGUAGCCUGGAGACCUGAGCAUCUUCAGAUCCUAUGAGGGUUUCAGAUGACACUUGGAACUAAGGACAUACGAAAAGGGCUGGUGGGCAGCAGAGAGAACUUAUGUCCAUCAGCUGUGACCACCCUGGCUGUGAAGUAGGGAGGGGUCUGGCUUCAGAGUGAGUCCAGAAGGGAGGGAGGGCCAUCUGUGGCACUUCGUAGGCAGAUGGGGCAGCAGUUCAUAGCACUGACACCUUAGUUUAAAUUUUCUGGAUGGAUGUGUAUAUAUACACUCUAGAGCAGUGGUUCUCAAUUUUCCUAAUGCUGUGGCCCUUUAAGAAGUUCUGCAUGGUGUGGCGAACCUCAAUCAUGAAAUUAUUUUUGUUGCUACCU
rnacentral:lncRNA from 1 species